ACUGGGGUGUUGUUGCGGGCGCACUGCUUAAGCUCCGAGCUUUAAUUAAAGAUACUGAGUAACUAAAGAUCCCAGUAAUUAAAAGGAGAAGUGUUUUUCUUUAGAAACACCGUGCUUGUUUGAUGCUCGCGAGUCUUUGGAGUGUUUUCGAGAAAUCAAAGCGGGGAUUGUGUUUGUUAAAGAACUGUGACGUCAUGUUGAUGAGGCGACGUUGAUUUUUUUUCCAACGUUUCUUUGGAGAUAUGUGAAGCUUGUUUAGAAUCAUGUGAAACGCAACAUGUUGGAGUAUGAUUGGAUGACAAGUUACGUAAAAUGUUUUCAGCAUGAGCAGAAUGAAAAUUACACGAAGAGUAAAAUGAAGUAAAAUGAAGCAGAAAGCAGGACGAAAUAUACCUACAAAGGUUAAAGGAAGUCAUAGUCAAAAACUACUACUAACUGAAAUGUCCGAAGCCCGAGUUUAAUGCCUAGAUACAGAAAAGGAAGAAUGAAGGAGAUGAUAUGAGAUAAUCCGAGAUAUUAUAAUUAGAAGAGAACAAAGAGAACGGGCCAAACUAGAAAUAAAAAGACUCAACGAAUAAGCCAGCACGAAGAAAUGCCAAGUGGUUCCACGCUGACCGGGAGUGGUUCCAUUGUGAUGACACGUCACGGCGAGGAGUGGAGCUGGUCGAGCGUCAAAAGAUUCUACUGCGAAAUAGAAGAAAAGAUUCCAUUUACUGUUGUAAAUUCUGUAAAUACUGUAAAUUCUCAUGUGUUAAAUGGAUCAUCAUUGACAAUCCAUCUUCGGCUCACUGUUGAGCACGAGUCUCCUUUCCAUUACGCUGGCCAAAUGCGGAUAGGCAGACUUCACACACGUAGAGAAUUGAGAAAUUUCUCAUCGUUUAAGACACGUGAUUUGUUAAAUUGUAUUCAUACCACCGUAUAAUUUUAUUUAUGCUCAAAAAGCUAGAACCCCAAACCUAAAACCGACAAAGAAAAAAAUAUGAGUGGCGAUCUGUCUGUGGUACUAACUACUAGCGACAUCAUGUGUUGUGUUUGAUAACUCCUACUUAUAGUCUCGUAAGCAGCGGUUACGCAUAUUGAUAGUUUUGUGGAUUAUUUUAUUUGACCCUUCGUUUGUUUACUUUAAAGUUAUUUCAUUUUAUAUUACUGUAACUGCAAAGUCUGCAAAAUAACUAUGGGUUGUUGCACCUACAUCAUGUCCAUUAUGUGGUACGGUAUGAAAGACAUAGAAGUGAAAACAUGAUGCUACCGGCUCCUUGUUUGGAUAAUAGUUAUGUUAAUAGUAUAAAACUAAUAAAUAGUAAUAAAAACGCUUUUAUUUCAUAUUAUAUUCAUGGAAACACAUCUAUCAAGUAAAAAAAACAUACAGAAAGUAUUUUUUACUUACUUUUUUACUUUACUUUUACUUACUUUACUUUUCACUUAACCUACAAAAUCUAAAAUAUUAAAUAAAACAAAAUCCCCAAGUGCUGCACCAAUAUGACUUUUAUUUAUUAGUAGUAAUUAUCUGAGCCUUCAAAAUGAAGCAUGUUUCGAUCUUGUUCAGGUCAGGCCCAAGCUUGUAUGGGAUCGUGUUCAUCUCCUUUCCCAAUAGGAUAACUAUUGGUAUUUGGCAAUGAUCGUCGACGAGAUUGAGCAAUUUGGAACAUAAAGAGCAAUUAAAUAUUGGUUUAAAAAUAUCCGAAUCUUUCAGAAAUUGCUCAAUAUUGCUCCACUUCUCGAUUAUCUGCAACACGAGCAGAGAAGGAGAGUGUUGAUCGAUCAAGGAAUUCCUUAACCCUACAUCCAGUAGUCACAAGUCCUGGACUUUGCUUGGUGUUUUUCUCUCUACCACGCGAUGGACCCGGCACCUGCACGGACGGAAGAUAUUCGUCUCAUAUAAGUGCUCG